GCAGCUGUGGCCAGUGGUUAAGGGGAUGGACUUGAAAUCCCCCGGGGUCUCCCCGCGUGGGGGUUUGAAUCCUGCCGGCUGCG